CUCAGGUGUUCUCCUUCCCAUCAGAUCUCUGAAAAGAAGAAUGAAUGAAAAGAAAAACAAGUGAAAUGGGGAAAACAUUUUACCUUUCAAAAUUUCUGUGGAGCGGCCGAGCAGGCUUUGUUUCCCUUCGAUUUUUCUCUAGUUUUUAGAUUCUUCAGGAGUCGGAUGGGAGGCUUGGGGUGGCCGAAUGGCGAAGUGGGAUGGUGGGA
rnacentral:lncRNA from 1 species